GUACAGUGAGCAUUGCACGUUGUGGGCAGUUGGUUAGUCGUCGUUUGGCGCGCGAAGUUUUUAAGGCGCGUGUGAAAUCUCGUGCGGGUUGCAGUAAACGCGUGCGCUGGAUUUUGCUGAAGAGUAAGAAUUUUAUUCAUUUCUUAUCGUCCGAAGUGAAACUAAUGGUGGUUCAAUAAUCUUAUGAAAAUGUGAUGCUGGAAUAAUUAAGCGCUGUGAUUCAGUGUUCAAAGUGUUAAUUUGUGAAAUUGAACGCGAAGCGAGAACGGGUUCCUAACCGGUGAUAUAAACUGAAGAGUUUCUACACGUAGUGCUUUACAGUCAGAAGAAAAGACCACGCAGUAGAACAUAUCGAGCAAGGAUAAACUGCUCGUUCGUCUUUAUCCAAGUGGCGGAUCGUACAUUGAAAGAUCGUUCCAUCCCUAAAGUUACCAACGCGAGUGAAUCUUCCCACGAACGGAGCCAUCGUUAUUUAACCUACCGAAACUUUAAACUCUGCCAAAAAGACAACAGAAAAUCGCCACAGCAGCGAUGGAGGACGAUGGCCUCACGAAGGACACUCGAAAGAAUUCGGUGAAAAGUGCCGCCAGCAAUGGAACCGGUGGCGGUGGCGGCGGCGAUGGGGAGAUCACGCUCAAGCCAAAGAUGACUCUGGUCAACGGAGUGACGGUGAUUGUCGGUUCGAUCAUCGGGUCCGGUAUCUUCGUGUCGCCGACUGGGGUGCUCAUCAACACCGGCAGCGUCAAUAUGUCGCUGAUCGUUUGGGUGCUGUCCGGACUGUUUUCGAUGGUUGGAGCCUACUGCUAUGCCGAGCUGGGAACGAUGAUCAAAAAAUCCGGCGCCGACUACGCCUACAUUAUGGAAACAUUCGGCCCGUUCCUGGCGUUCAUCCGUUUGUGGAUCGAGUGCAUGAUCGUCCGGCCCUGCUCCCAGGCCAUCGUGGCCCUCACGUUCAGCGUGUACGUCCUGAAACCGUUCUUUCCGGAGUGUCAACCACCGGACGAUGCCGCUCGGCUGCUGGCAGUCUGCUGUAUCCUGGUGUUGACAUUCGUCAACUGUUGGGACGUGAAGUGGGCCACCGCCGUCCAGGACAUCUUCACCUACGCCAAACUGUUGGCUCUAUUCAUCAUCAUCGGCGCUGGAGCAUAUUUCUUCUUCAAAGGCAACACCGAGCACUUCACGUUUGAGAAUACGAAGACCGAAGUAACAUCGCUGGCGCUGUCCUUCUACUCGGGUCUUUUCGCAUACAACGGAUGGAACUAUCUGAACUUCAUCAUCGAGGAGCUGAAGGACCCGGUUAAGAAUCUGCCCCGCGCCAUCGCCAUUUCCUGCACCCUGGUCACCGUCGUGUACGUCUUCACCAAUGUGUCGUUCUACACGGUGCUGUCGCCGGAGGAGGUGCUCGGCUCGCAGGCCGUAGCCGUCACCUUUGCCGAUCGGGUGUUCGGAAUUUUCGCAUGGACCAUUCCGGUUUUCGUGGCUCUGUCGACCUUCGGUGCUGUCAACGGAAUUCUGCUGACGUCAUCGCGCCUUUUCUACGCCGGUGCCUGCGAAGGACAAAUGCCGGAGAUUCUCACCAUGAUCCAGAUCCAGCGCCUCACCCCGACGCCGGCCGUCCUCAUCAUGGCGCUGCUGUCGAUGGUUUACCUGACCGUGUCGGAUAUUUUCGCGCUGAUCAACUACGUCGGAUUUGCAACUUGGUUGAGUAUCGGUGUGGCCGUCUUGUGUCUGCCAUGGCUGCGGUGGGCCCAACCUAACCUGGAACGGCCGAUCAAGGUGAAUCUGCUCUUCCCCAUCUUCUACCUGAUUGCCACCGUGUUCGUCACCGUGGUUCCGAUGAUUGCCAGCCCGGUCGAAACCGGCUACGGAAUGCUCAUGAUCCUGAGCAGCAUCCCCGUUUACUUUAUUUUCAUUGCGUGGCGGAACAAACCCAAGUGGUUCAACCGUUCGAUGGGAGGAUUCACUCAGAGUUUGCAAAAGUUGAUGAUGGUGGUGCGGCCGAAGCAGAAGUAAAUUCCACCGGAGGAGGGAAUUUGAUGAAGAUGUGAUGAUGAAGUGAUGAAAAACAAAAGUGGGCGUCACCCGAUUCCUGCAAAAAAUGCUCAUGGUCGUUGGAAAGGCCAAACCCGCUCAGGUUUAGACAGAGAAAAAGAACAGACACAUCAACCAAACCACAUCGUUCGCGCAUCCCACAUCAAUCAGCUACGUGAAUAAAAUUGGACACUAACGUAUUGACUAGUUCAGAAGAAACAAAAAAAAAACAAAAAGUUUAGGAUAUGAGCCUCAGAAAAGAUUUAUCCUGUGUAGGAAAUAGCAGUCAAAUUCAGGGAGAAGCAUGGGUGAAUAAUAGGAUAGUUGCGAAAAAGUUAGUUUUCUUGUGUUAAAACAAAGUUAGUUUAUGACAAGCAUACAUUCCUGUUUGUGUAUCGUUUUAGUUAUCAACAUAUUGCGAUUGUCGUAAAGUUGACUGUUUUUCGACAUUCCCUCUUCAAGUUAGGUUAACCUCAGUGAGCAAAAAAAAUGUUAAGUUUUAAACAAGGUACUAUAAAGUUAUUUUUUAACGUUAUCAUUGAUUGAGACACGUGACGUAGUAUUUGUUCAAUUCUCUCGAUAAUUAUGUAUACUUUUAAUGUUAGAAUCUUUCGUUCCUCGUAAAUUUAUUGUAUUUCUUAGGAUUGGUCGAUACAAGUAAAGACACUGCUCAAAGCAACGCUACAAUAAUAUCAAACUAACCGUUUCUUUGCAUUUUAUUAUACAUUUUCAGUUGAAGCGAAGAAUACAUAUUAAGAUGAUAAA